rnacentral:rRNA from 1 species
GACGAACGCUGGCGGCGUGCUUAACACAUGCAAGUCGAACGGAAAGGCCCUGCUUGCAGGGUACUCGAGUGGCGAACGGGUGAGUAACACGUGGGUGAUCUGCCCUGCACUUCGGGAUAAGCCUGGGAAACUGGGUCUAAUACCGGAUAGGAGCCAUUUUUAGUGUGAUGGUUGGAAAGUUUUUUCGGUGUAGGAUGAGCUCGCGGCCUAUCAGCUUGUUGGUGGGGUAAUGGCCUACCACGGCGGCGACGGGUAGCCGGCCUGAGAGGGUGGACGGCCACAUUGGGACUGAGAGACGGCCCAGACUCCUACGGGAGGCAGCAGUGGGGAAUAUUGCACAAUGGGCGCAAGCCUGAUGCAGCGAGGCCGCGUGGGGGAUGACGGCCUUCGGGUUGUAAACUCCUUUCGCUAGGGACGAAGCUUUUUGUGACGGUACCUAGAUAAGAAGCACCGGCUAACUACGUG